AUACUGAUGUCAAUCCAUCUCUGGUGACAGUUGAAUGUAAACAAUCAACUUUCGGGACCAGUGCCAACCGAAAUCGCUCGAGGUUUCCGGAGGAACAGCGAUAGCGCAGGAGGAACAAAAUUACGGAGGCGGUAGUGCAAAGCGCAAACAUCGUCUGUGGAGUGUGAUAGUGAUGAAAAUGAUUUCACUGAAUUCUCGCCCCAGCAAAAACUCACCAAAGGCGCAGUCAUGAUCGUUGUGGGAGAAUUCUCCAUGGAACCAGAAGCAAGUGCUUGUGCUGUCUGGAGGCGACUUUUACAUCUAAUUUUCUUCCGAUAUGCCAUUACGGAACCGCCUCAUUGGCUUUAUUCUUCAAUUAAGAAUUGCCUAUAUUAUUGGUUCCGAUAAGCUUAUCACAGAAAUCGUUCUCUGGUGGAUGACGAUCAUGAAAAAUCCAGCGGAACGAUGCCACGAAGAGCUUAUGGCUUACGACUAUGACGGUUGCCGGUUGCAGGUGGUACUUUUUCCUUUCGCGAUCGAAACAAGCACAGCAGCAAAUGUUCAGAAAAUAUCAAAUUUCCGUCUUCUAUAUCGCAGACUGAAUAGUAUUCCCAGUUGCGUGAAUUUUCCGAACCACUUAUCACACGGAACAAUGAUUCCGCAAAUCAAUUCACCUGGAGGUGGGCGUCCGAAUCCGGAUCGGACAACAACAUUACAUUAGGAGAGAUGGCCGAUUGGGUCAGUAUGGAAUGGGAUGACCCACAGGGAGGGAAACAUUCCGGAACGGUAAAUGGAGUUGAAUAUGUUGAAAUGGAAAAGAUCGGCAGAGAUCGCAGCAGAGUAACUUAAGCUACUUGGUGGACGUAUUGAUGGCUUAUUCACCAGUAAAUUCCACAAGGGAUUUAUCCAGCUUCAAUAGCCUAAAAAGCAUAAACAGAUGGGAAUCAAUUUAAGCUGUGGGCGUCUACUGGCUCUGCGGAAGUUAUCCCUGAAUGUGAACGGAAUCGAACAGAUCGCUUUCCCGGAAUGUCUUCACACAGAAAAGACAGCGUUAUUUCUAAAGCUUCAGAUACAUUACCUGCGGGAGAAUCCCAUCGUAAACCAGUGCGCAGCAUUUAACCAGCUGGACAAAUUGAGCGCGCUGCAACAUUUGACCAUGGACUCGGAUCAAUGCGUGAGUUAUUAAACAAUUACUUGAUUGGUUGCUUCCAUAGCUGGGUUGAAACCAUUCAAUCGAUCAAGAAUUACGGAAAAGCUUAGACGCGAUUCGGUGUGCGAUAUGUGGAAAAUGUAUGCCGUCCAAUGGGCACAUGUUAGCG